GACGAACGCUGGCGGCGUGCUUAACACAUGCAAGUCGAACGGAAAGGCCCUGCUUUUGUGGGGUGCUCGAGUGGCGAACGGGUGAGUAACACGUGAGUAACCUGCCCUUGACUUUGGGAUAACUUCAGGAAACUGGGGCUAAUACCGGAUAGGAGCUCCUGCUGCAUGGUGGGGGUUGGAAAGUUUCGGCGGUUGGGGAUGGACUCGCGGCUUAUCAGCUUGUUGGUGGGGUAGUGGCUUACCAAGGCUUUGACGGGUAGCCGGCCUGAGAGGGUGACCGGCCACAUUGGGACUGAGAUACGGCCCAGACUCCUACGGGAGGCAGCAGUGGGGAAUAUUGCACAAUGGGCGGAAGCCUGAUGCAGCAACGCCGCGUGCGGGAUGACGGCCUUCGGGUUGUAAACCGCUUUCGCCUGUGACGAAGCGUGAGUGACGGUAAUGGGUAAAGAAGCACCGGCUAACUACGUGCCAGCAGCCGCGGUGAUACGUAGGGUGCGAGCGUUGUCCGGAUUUAUUGGGCGUAAAGGGCUCGUAGGUGGUUGAUCGCGUCGGAAGUGUAAUCUUGGGGCUUAACCCUGAGCGUGCUUUCGAUACGGGUUGACUUGAGGAAGGUAGGGGAGAAUGGAAUUCCUGGUGGAGCGGUGGAAUGCGCAGAUAUCAGGAGGAACACCAGUGGCGAAGGCGGUUCUCUGGGCCUUUCCUGACGCUGAGGAGCGAAAGCGUGGGGAGCGAACAGGCUUAGAUACCCUGGUAGUCCACGCUGUAAACGGUGGGUACUAGGUGUGGGGUCCAUUCCACGGGUUCCGUGCCGUAGCUAACGCUUUAAGUACCCCGCCUGGGGAGUACGGCCGCAAGGCUUAAACUCAAAGGAAUUGACGGGGCCCCGCACAAGCGGCGGAGCAUGCGGAUUAAUUCGAUGCAACGCGUAGAACCUUACCUGGGUUUGACAUGGAUCGGGAGUGCUCAGAGAUGGGUGUGCCUCUUUUGGGGUCGGUUCACAGGUGGUGCAUGGCUGUCGUCAGCUCGUGUCGUGAGAUGUUGGGUUAAGUCCCGCAACGAGCGCAACCCUUGUUCACUGUUGCCAGCACGUUAUGGUGGGGACUCAGUGGAGACCGCCGGGGUCAACUCGGAGGAAGGUGGGGAUGACGUCAAGUCAUCAUGCCCCUUAUGUCCAGGGCUUCACGCAUGCUACAAUGGCUGGUACAGAGAGUGGCGAGCCUGUGAGGGUGAGCGAAUCUCGGAAAGCCGGUCUCAGUUCGGAUUGGGGUCUGCAACUCGACCUCAUGAAGUCGGAGUCGCUAGUAAUCGCAAAUCAGCAACGCUGCGGUGAAUACGUUCCCGGGGCU
rnacentral:rRNA from 1 species